rnacentral:rRNA from 1 species
GCUUACGGCCAUACCAGCCUGGGUACGAUCCUGAUCUCGGAAGCUAAGCAGGGUCGGGCCUGGUUAGUACUUGGAUGGGAGACCGCCUGGGAAUACCAGGUGCUGUAAGCA